rnacentral:tRNA from 1 species
GCGGCUUCACGCCGGGUUAGAGACGCACAGCUUCCCAAGCUGAAUACGGGGGUUCGAUUCCCCUCAUUCGCU